CAUUCUCCCCCCUUAAGAACAUUCGUCCUCGAAUGUUCCUAAAACAAACAAAAACACAACAAAAGGAGGAAACUAACCUCAAAACAGAUGUGGAUACUGCUGGAGCAUAGACUCCCGCGUCUCCCAAGUGCACUCUUCCAGGUUAUGGUGGUUCCACAAAACUUUCACCAUCGGAAUCUCUUUGUUCCUUAGCUGUCUGAUCUGCAUGUCCAGAAUCCAUA
rnacentral:lncRNA from 1 species